rnacentral:rRNA from 1 species
AGCGAACGCUGGCGGCAGGCUUAACACAUGCAAGUCGAGCGGGCCUUUCGGGGUCAGCGGCGGACGGGUGAGUAACGCGUGGGAACGUGCCCUCUGGUUCGGAAUAACUCAGGGAAACUUGAGCUAAUACCGGAUACGCCCUUUUGGGGAAAGGCUUGCUGCCGGAGGAUCGGCCCGCGUCUGAUUAGCUAGUUGGUGAGGUAACGGCUCACCAAGGCGACGAUCAGUAGCUGGUCUGAGAGGAUGAUCAGCCACACUGGGACUGAGACACGGCCCAGACUCCUACGGGAAGCAGCAGUGGGGAAUAUUGGACAAUGGGCGCAAGCCUGAUCCAGCCAUGCCGCGUGAGUGAUGAAGGCCUUAGGGUUGUAAAGCUCUUUUAUCCGGGACGAUAAUGACGGUACCGGAGGAAUAAGCCCCGGCUAACUUCGUG